AAGGAACUAACAAGGAUUCCCCUAGUAACUGCGAGUGAAGCGGGAAGAGCUCAAAUUUAAAAUCUGGUAGUCUUUGGCUGCCCGAGUUGUAAUCUAGAGAAGCGUUAUCCGCGCUGGACCGUGUACAAGUCUCCUGGAAUGGAGCGUCAUAGAGGGUGAGAAUCCCGUCUUUGACACGGACUACCAGGGCUUUGUGAUACGCUCUCGAAGAGUCGAGUUGUUUGGGAAUGCAGCUCUAAAUGGGUGGUAAAUUCCAUCUAAAGCUAAAUAUUGGCGAGAGACCGAUAGCGAACAAGUACCGUGAGGGAAAGAUGAAAAGAACUUUGGAAAGAGAGUUAAACAGUACGUGAAAUUGUUGAAAGGGAAACGCUUGAAGUCAGUCACGUUGGCUAGGAAUCAGCCUUGCUUUUGCUUGGUGUAUUUCCUGGUUUUAACGGGUCAGCAUCAAUUUCGACCGAUGGAAAAAGGUCAGGGGAAUGUGGCAUCUUAGGAUGUGUUAUAGCCCUUGGUCGUAUACAUCGGUUGGGAUUGAGGAACUCAGCACGCCGCAAGGUCGGGUUAUCUAACCACGUUCGUGCUUAGGAUGCUGGCAUAAUGGCUUUAAUCGACCCGUCUUGAAACACGGACCAAGGAGUCUAACAUGCCUGCGAGUGUUUGGGUGGAAAACCCGAGCGCGUAAUGAAAGUGAAAGUUGAGAUCCCUGUCGUGGGGAGCAUCGACGCCCGGACCAGACCUUCUGUGACGGAUCCGCGGUAGAGCAUGUAUGUUGGGACCCGAAAGAUGGUGAACUAUGCCUGAAUAGGGUGAAGCCAGAGGAAACUCUGGUGGAGGCUCGUAGCGAUUCUGACGUGCAAAUCGAUCGUCAAAUUUGGGUAUAGGGGCGAAAGACUAAUCGAACCAUCUA
rnacentral:rRNA from 1 species